GUUAAUGUUACAAGCUCUCAAAUCAGCCAGGGGUGAAUAAUCCCUGCUCUACUCCAUCAGCUGUGGCAUCGGAAGCAAAGCUGUGUCAGCUGACUCCUGCCUUUAGGACUUCACAACCCUCUGACUUUACAACUGGAUCCCACGUCCUCAGAACCGUUAGUGUCUGUAGGCACAUCUACAACACUCCCUGGAAGGAUUUUCAGGCACCACUUUGAGAGCCGUGAGCAGACUUCAGACAACCUCCAUAGGACAAAGCUGUUUAUGGACUUCUUUCCAAUUCGCCCAACCGGCGGAAGCUGCAUUUCAAAAUCAAGUCUGAAGACAACAAUAGACGUCAUUCAAAUAAAACACCCACUGAGAUCUUAUGAAGUACAUGGUUCCGUUUUCUGGAAAUUGUUCCAAAUUUAAUCAGUUGUUGAGUGAACUUUUCUGGGGGAGACACGAACAGAGUGUGCUCACCCCAAAUAGGGCAUCAAUAAAAGGUCAAAGGAAUGACUCCUCCAAGA